AAAGUCGUAACAAGGUUUCCGUAGGUGAACCUGCGGAAGGAUCAUUAAUAAAAUAUGGCCCACGCAGCCAGACAGUUAAACCUGUCUGUUACUGCGUGGGUUGUAUACAACCACCUGUUUACCUUUACCUGUUGCUUCCGUGGAAUUACGGGUGCCCUUCCUGUUCGCAGGCUUGGGUUACCUUCCACGGGUGAAUUUUUAAAAUCGUUUUUGUAUGUAUUGUCUGAUAUAAAUUUUUAAUAAAAGUUAAAACUUUCAACAACGGAUCUCUAGGUUCUC
rnacentral:misc_RNA from 1 species